CGGAUAGUCGGGGCGGCAGCCGCGGGAGUACGAAGGGGGGGAGCGUAGUUCGGAAUUACAGUGCGGAAAGGGAGCGCAGGCGGUCCGGUAAGUCAGAUGGGAAAGCCCCGGGCUCAACCUGGGAACUGCAUUUGAGACUGGAGGACUUGAGGACGGGAGAGGGGAGUGGAAUUCCCAGUGUAGAGGUGAAAUUCGUAGAUAUUGGGAAGAACACCGAUGGCGAAGGCAGCUCUCUGGACCGUUACUGACGCUGAGGCGCGAAAGCGUGGGGAGCAAACAGGAUUAGAUACCCCUGUAGUC
rnacentral:rRNA from 1 species